GUCCCAGUAAGUUGCUGUGAGAAGCCCA
rnacentral:piRNA from 1 species